AUAUAGUCGCUACAAAGGGGCUCCAAAAUAUUAUGCAAUAAAAAAAACAAUAGAUAUUUAGAUAAAUUUUAUGAAAGUUAUUCUUAUUAAAUCUUAAUUUAUUGUUUUUAUUAUCAGUAAUUGAUCAUCAAUUAUUUUUAAUCUCAAUGACCAGUCAUUUUAAAAAACCCUAAUGUGUUUAUGUAUAUUUUAAACUGUGUUUUGUUCGACUUAAAGCUACAAAUUAAGUUGUGAGUUAUUCCCCAAAACUUACACUCCAAAACUUUUUUAAAAAAAAGGAUAAAAAUUAAAGACCAAGAUUUUUUUUUCUUUUUUUUUUCUUUUAGUAAAUUCAUUUUCAAUGUGGCUGCAGGCAAACACAUUUUAAGUUGGGAAUUACUUAAAAGUAGAAAAAAAAGCUCAAGAAAACAAGAAAUCAGUGAGACAGAAGACUUCAAUAUGUUAUAUUGAGUUGGGAAAACAUUAAGUUUUUUCUAUUGAUUGGACGUCAAAAUCGAUCUAUUUGUUAUCAUUAAGGUUGUCUCGAAAAAAAAAAGGUGGAAAAACGAAUAAAACGACUAUCACAUGCGGAAUUCCCCAGGGAUCAAUUCAAGGACUUUAAUUUACGUUAAUGAUUUAAAUGAUUUUCUAACAUUUUUAGUUUUAUUCGUUGAUGAUUCCGAUGAUAUUCGUCAAUUUUUUCCCUUGAUCAAUUUAAAAAUAAACUUAAAAUAAAAACUUCUGAGAAUUAAACUACUGAAACUUUUAAAUAGAGUUUUUCCGGAACCAACUCUAAUGUCUGAGCUUUUUAUUGACAAUAUCGUUAUUAAAAGAGAAAAAGUUGAAAAGUUUUUAGAAGUGUAUAUUGAUAAAAAUCUAUCUUGGAAAAAUCAUAUUGACAGUACCUCCUCAAAAGUUGCAAAAUCUAAUGGCAUUAUAUAUAAAGCUAGAGACAUAUUAAACAAACAGUAACUAACGCAGCUAUACUAUUCCUUUAUUAAUGCCACAUCAAUUAUGCAAAUACAGUAUGGGGUAGCAAUAAUAAAAAAAAACUUAAAUCUCUUUAUCAUCAUCAUAAACACGCAGCUCGCGCAAUAAACUUUUAAAACCGUUUUACGCCCUCUAAGCCACUUCUGCAGGAAAUGAAAGUCUUAAAUAUUUACCAACUAAACGUAUAUAACAUUUUAUACUUUAUGUUUAAAUGUAAAUAAAACUUAUCUCCUUGUGUAUUUAAAAAUCUUUAUGUAAUAAAACCCAAAAACAAGUAUGAUUUAUGUACUGAUAAUUAUCUUAAUGCCCUUUUUUGUCGGAAUAAGUAUACUCAAUUUUGUAUUUC